UUAACGGGAAGAACCUUACCUGGCCUUGACAUGCUGAGAACUUUCCAGAGAUGGAUUGGUGCCUUCGGGAACUCAGACACAGGUGGUGCAUGGCUGUUGUCAGCUCGUGUCGUGAGAUGUUGGGUUAAGUCCCGUAACGAGCGCAACCCUUGUCCUUAGUUACCAGCACCUCGGGUGGGCACUCUAAGGAGACUGCCGGUGACAAACCGGAGGAAGGUGGGGAUGACGUCAAGUCAUCAUGGCCCUUACGGCCAGGGCUACACACGUGCUACAAUGGUCGGUACAAAGGGUUGCCAAGCCGCGAGGUGGAGCUAAUCCCAUAAAACCGAUCGUAGUCCGGAUCGCAGUCUGCAACUCGACUGCGUGAAGUCUGGAAUCGCUAGUAAUCGGAAUCAGCAGGUAGCUGUAA
rnacentral:rRNA from 1 species